ACUUUUUUAACUUGUGGUGUAUAAGGCGUUCGUAAAAGAUCUCUAUCUGUCUAAAUUUAGAUGAACUCGUCACCGUAACCGACAUAAGAUGAACGAACAAUAUUCGAUAUAAAUAGAGAUUAGAUCAUUUCGACGAACUUUAAAUAGGAUGCUCCAAUAACGGCGCUGUGCAUUUUGAAAUACAAAAUGACAAGCAAUGACGCUAUGUGGAGUGUUGACUUGAAUAAUAAUAUUAAAAAACCGAUUAGCGCCAUGUGCUGCGUGCUCUAAUCAAUUAUAAUAAGAAUAUUAAUACGUGAAGCAAAAACUUUGACCUCUUGUGAGUCCGCACGGGUCGGUACCACCGUCCUGCCUAUUUCUGCCGUGAAGCAGUAAUGCCUUUCGGUUUGAAGGGUGGGGCAGCCAUUGUAAGUAUACUGAGACCUUAGAACUUGUAUCUCAAGGUAAGUGGCGGCAUUUACGUUGUAGAUGUGAAUGGGCUCCGGUAACCGUUUAAUAACAGGUGGACCAUGAGCUCGUCCACCCAACUAAGCAAAAAAAACACUUAGUCUAAGAACUUUCAUAAUAGAAAUGAUGAAGUAUAUCUUUGAAGUGGUAAAUAAAUAACUAAUCUAUACUGUCUAUACUAAUAUUAUAAAAGUCAAUGUUUUGUUUUGGUAGACGAGUUAAUGGGCUCAUUGUCGAUAUGUAGACAUCAUAGCGUAAAUAUUGCCGUUCACCUUGAAACGUGACGUCUUAAUUUUAUCAUAUAACGGCUGUCCCACUUAUCAAACUGGAACGCAUCACAGCUUCGCCGCCAUAAUGGGCAGGGUUGAGGUACCUAUCUUUGCGGGCUCACAAGAUACCCCAUCACAAUACAUUUUUGCGGUUUUGUUUUUUAUUAUACCAUGUUAUCGCUUCACUCGUGUGAAAAACAUUCAUGAACUUUUGAUGAUUACGUGUUUCAUAAUAAAAGUGUACUGUCGGCUGAGUUUGAACACUAGCCAAGUCGUAUCGUCGAUACGAGCACGCUGGGAGUCUUAGGCGACAACCUUUAGGCCACAACAACAUUAAACUGUAGUCCUUUUUCAGAGUAGCGAACUGAUUAAAAUUAAAAUUAAACUAUUCCUUAUAGUAUGUAUUAUUAUUAUUUUAACCUAAACGCCUUAGUCAGCAAUGAUAUAUGAUAGGAAAAUCAAGACAUACCUAGCUCGGAUAUUAGGUUUGACUGUACUGAUUUGUUGUUAAAAAUAAUUACUACGUAGUCUUCGAUCAAUGAUCGAAGUAGAUAGUCUAUAUUUUUUAUAAAAUAAUUAAAAUAUUUCUGCUUCAUUUAAAAGAUGUGUAUAAAAUAAUUUUUAAGCAAAACUUCAAUGAACAGGUUGAACGUUUUUGAAACCAAACUGACGAUAUUAUUUUCAACCCAUUAAAAAAAUAAUAGAUUUGUUUGUAUAGAUAGGUAUAGAAUUUUAUUAAACUACCUGUAAUGAUUGGCAGUUCGAAAUUUUUCUUUAGAAAAGGAUAAUUAUUAUUUUUCUACUUUUAUGGAUUAAUUUUCGUUGUGUAUGUUAUUAAAUGAACUAAUGUUUCCAAUUAAUUACAGUCUUCGGUUUGGUCUCCUAGAUAUUCUUAUCCAUAUGCACAAUAAACAUUUUCUAUAACAUUUGACCACAGCAAAACUAUUCACAUUUCUUCAAAAGCGCGCUCUGCUAACGAUUUGAUCAUUUCAACUGUCUUUGCCCGUGUAUGCAGACGACCAUACGGCCCACCUGCCAGUGAGUGGUUACCGUCGCCCAUGGAUGUCAGCAAUGCCAGGGAGAGAGCCAAGCCGCUGCCUACCGUUUAAUAUUUGCGUGGCGGACGGUGCGAUUGUAAAAAUAAUUUCAAACACAAACAAUUCCUCAGAGCACUCCUCAUGGAGCAGAGUGAAAAGCAACUGUGUUCUAAAUGCUCUCAAUGCUCUUAAUCGAAAAGUAAACCAUAAUACACAACUUCGUUAAAGAUGUAUGAGGUAAAAACAAUAAAAGCGGAUGGAUUGCGAGCAUCACAAUAGUGAUUAGAACUAAAAAAUAAUUCCAAUAAACAAUAAUAUUUCUGGGUGAAUAAAAGGUAACGGGUAGCUGAGCGUAACUGACUGGGCUGAAAUAAUUCGUCAGUCUCUUCUUACUCUCGUCAAUGAAAAUUAGUGAAAAACAUAGUAAAAAGCUUGCAAGAAGUAGACUGUGCCUCGAACGCGUUUAAUGCGGUUUUUUACUGGUGGUAGGGCCUCUUGUGAGUCCGCGCGGGUGGGCACCACCACCAUGCCUAUUUCGGCCGUGAAGCAGUAAUGCGUUUCGGUUUGAAGGGUGGGGCAGCCGUUGUAACUAUACUGAGAUCUUAGAACUUAUAUCUCAAGAUGGGUGGCGCAUUUACGUUGUCGAUGUCUAUGGGCUCCAGUAACUACUUAACACCAGGUGGGCUGUGAGCUCAUCCACCCAAUAAAAAAAAAAAAAUGCAUAAUAAUCCAAAAAAAAGGUAAUUUAUUAAAAACAUCGCAACGUCAGAGGAAGGCGUUUUACCUAUAGUUUCUUAACUAGGCCAAAUUGGUUGUUGGUAUUGCGCUGUCUCAUCAAUCACCUGAUGUUUUAGUGAGAACUAAUCAAUAAAACUAGAUUAUUAUUUUCUUGCUUAUAUUUCCAUAUAAUGCGGCUGUAGUAGUAAUACCUCAUCCUAGCGAACUUGACAAUCACGUAUCUAGUCGGUUUUCAAUAUGCUGCCUAUUUCUUGAGCAAACCAGUCAGGUUGCCGUUUGAAGACUGGGAUUUUGGACUUAUAUUUUAUAAGUCACUUUGAGUUGCGGCAUUCAUUCUGUGUUUUCUAUGUGCCCUUGUGAUCACUCGACGGUACAUACAUGAGUCGUGACCUUGUUAGCUUAUCAAUGGUUUAGAUAAAACAUCAGUUACAUUAUCAUUUGAUAUUGUGUCUAUAAUGAUACAAAACUUUGAUGAGCUUUAAAAUUUCAGCAUUCCAUAAACUUCUCCUAUGUUUGUGUAAUGUGAUUUAUUCAAUCAUGUUAUGGACUUGUGUCUUGAUCAAACACUAGAUGAAAAUUCUCUUCAUAAAAAAAGUCGUCAUAACUACUAGUAAACAAAUAUAAAUUGUUUCCAUAAUUUCAAAUCAAAACAAUAAUUGGCUUUUUAAUAUUCGUAGAAGAAAAUAAAUACUAGUAAACUUAUAGGUACCUCAAUUCCAGUUUGUGGUUCUGUGUCGAGAAUCGUGAGCAGGUUAGUCGGCGGUCGAUUUGGUGAAGCACUUGCGAUGACUGAUAUGGAUCCGCCGACUGUCUCUUGUGGCUUCACACCGGAAUCUUUCAGCAAACACAGAACG